rnacentral:lncRNA from 1 species
GAUCUCUGUGUGCAUGCGAUUAUCUUUAGCCGACUUGUGAAAUGUCCAAACAACUCCAACUGCUUCCUCAGAUGAUAACACGGAUGAUAAAGGAAUGAAGGGUAUGUCUGCUUCAUUACGAUUGACAAAACUUGCACAUCUACUUUCAAGCUGGUGAAAGCACGAUUUCAAGAUGUAAGCUAAGAACGGAGAUGGUAAUUUCCGGUCGAAAGUGUCAAAAUCUUAAAAUUAGGGUCGAAGAGAAAUAUACGUCUCCUUGCGGUAAACCAGAAUACAGCACGGCAUUUUGCUUCAUAUACGUGUUAUUCAAAAGACAACAACAGUUUAAAGCCAAAGGAACCCAAUCUUAGAAGAUGAUUUAACUAUAAUUUUGU